rnacentral:misc_RNA from 1 species
AAGGAUCAUUAUUGAAUUAUUAAUGGGAUGUGCUGGUAAUGUUUUCAAAGUUACAUGUGCACUCCCAAAUCCAUUUAUUCACCUGUGCACCUUAGGUAGGCAUUCAUGAUUGAUAACAUCAAUCAAGAGUGUUCUAUGUUUUUUAUCACACCCUUAAUAAUGAGAAAGAAUGUGUUAACAUAUUAAUACAACUUUCAACAAUGGAUCUCUUGGUUCUC